ensembl:lncRNA
AGACUGGGAACAAGAAGAUGUAUAUAGCGUUGGGGCUUGGUUUUUAUUCUUUUUCAUUUGGUUUUAUUUUGGUUGGUUGGUUGGUUGAUUUUGUUGAGGUUUUUUGUUGGUUUGUUUUUUUUUUUUUAAUUUUUAAAUAAAUGUUUGAUUUCUAAUGUCUUGAUGUAAAUCAAAUAAAAAUGGUUCUGUACAUUCAGAAGUAAAGAACAGCUGAAAGGUGACAAGCGUAAUAAAGAAGCACUGUCCUCCAGGCUGAUACAACAAUACCAUUUCCCAGACUUUCCCACAGGGAUUGGAGGGUGAAUCUGUGCCUGUGCCUGCACAGAAGUGCAGCCCACCAAGAUGGUGACCUUAGGGCUGGCUCCCUGAUCCACCUCCAAGUCCAGUGAAGAGGUGGGCAGUAGAGGAGGAAGUCAUGUUGUAUAAGUAACUAUUCAGUGUUUGAUCCCACCAUCCCUGAGGUCAAUGAGAGGAGGCUGUGUAUUAGAUCCUGAUCCCUUGCACAUUUGGCCUCUUCCUGGAGAGCCAAACUGUACUAUGCCUUACUGUAUCUUGGGAUGUAGUAGUGAAGGGAUGAAAAUGAUAUCAGGUAUCACUUGCAUAAAUAUAGUAAUGCAUGUGGAGUAAAGGCUGUAUGAGCCUGAACAGUCUUGGAGAAGCUGCUGUUGCUGAUGCUGCUUUCUGCCUUGUGAUUUGGUCUAGGGUGACAAGUGUUAGGAAAUGCCCAGCUGCUGAGAAGAGUUAUCAAGGAAGUCUUCAAUGUUGACAGACUUCUCUUAAGAGCCUUUGCAUUUCAAUAGACCUUUGUCUGCAAGUUCCUGGCUGUUUGGGAAGAGAUGGAAAAGACGGAUUUAGAAGACAGUGCAAAGCAGAGACCUUGAGUUAAGCUUAGCUAUCUGUUUUAGUGGCCACUGGACUUGCAGAGAAAAAUUCUUCAGCAGAAGAAGCACAGAAGGUCAGAGGUGCAAAUGAGCAGGCUCAAGUUUAUGGCAUUGACUGAUUCUGGACCAAGGGACAUUUGGUCUCCAUGCAGCUUCCAGUUAGCAGAAAUGAGUGAUAGGGGAAUGCCAUAGAUGAUAAUGGUAGUGGGUCUGAAACCUAUAGGUAACCAUCUGUAUUAUAACCAAUCUUUGUCUGGGCUGGGAAGAAUGCCAAGAGUGAAAAAUAAGGGAAUGAUGCACUUGGUUGGUCUUUCCUUUCUCAUCACCACCCUCUGGCUGUGCCCAGGGCUGUGAGGCCUGCGCUGCUGCAGCACCAAGCCUUGCCAAGAGGUGAAACUGUUUUCUGAAGAACAAAUGCCCACUCAUGAUGUGCUACCACGGGGAUGUUAAGCCAAGAGGUAUGAAAGCAAACAAGAUUAGACCUCUAAGUCCGGGGCAUCCUUCCCAGGAAAGGCUAGACCAUUUAUGCCAAUCUGUCAUCCUCUCAAACUGCACUCAUCCAUCUUCCCUUCAAAGAUGAAGAAGUGGCAACAUCUUCUCUAACUGGGGACGUCUUAUGUGGCCAGAAUUUCAAACAAAGUCCUAACUGAACAACAGUGACAACAGGGAGAUCAAUGGCAAUGUCAAUAUACAUUAUCAAAGGGACUGCUGUGAACCAUCUUGGCAUACUCUGAGUGGCCGCGUUGCAUCCUGUACAGCAUUACAAAAACAAACAGAAGAAAAAGAAAGAGAAAAAAAAAAAAGAACAAACCACCCAUUUUUAUGUUCUUUAAUUUGCAUUUUCUGCAUGAAAUAAGACCUUGAUCCUUGUCUUUUUUCACAAAAGCAGGUUCUGCUUUAACUAAUGUAAAAAAAAAAAAAAAAAAAAAAGGAAAGAAAAUAAUGUUUCUAUAGCAAAGUGAUUUAGAUGUAGAAAUUUUUGUAAAAAAAAAAAAAAAACGGGG